UUUCCGUAGGUGAACCUGCGGAAGGAUCAUUAUUGUAUAACCGAGGUGCGAGGGCUGUCGCUGACCCGAAAGGUCGUGCACGCCCGAGUGCACUCACACACAUCCAUCUCACCCCUAUGUGCACCACCGCGUGGGUCCCCCUUUGGCUGGUUCGGAGGGGGGCUUACGUUUUCACACAAACUUUGUAUGCAGUGUAGAAUGUAUUUUUUGUUUUUGCGAUCACGCAAUAAAUACAACUUUCAACAACGGAUCUCUUGGCUCUC
rnacentral:misc_RNA from 1 species